GGUUUCGGCUGUCACUUAUAGAUGGGCCCGCGGCGCAUUAGCUAGUUGGUGAGGUAACGGCUCACCAAGGCGAGAUGCGUAGCCGACCUGAGAGGGUGAUCGGCCACACUGGGACUGAGACACGGCCCAGACUCCUACGGGAGGCAGCAGUAGGGAAUCUUCCGCAAUGGACGAAAGUCUGACGGAGCAACGCCGCGUGAGUGAUGUAAGGUUUUCGGAUACGUAAACUCUGUUGUUAGGGAAGAACAAGUAUGAGAGUAACUGCUCGUACCUUGACGGUACCUAACCAGAAAGCCACGGCUAACUACGUG
rnacentral:rRNA from 1 species